rnacentral:rRNA from 1 species
UACGUAGGCAGCGAGCGUUGUUCGGAGUUACUGGGCGUAAAGAGUGCGUAGGCGGUUUUCUAAGUUUGGUGUGAAAUCUCCCGGCUUAACUGGGAGGGUGCGCCGAAGACUGGAAGGCUUGAGUAUGGGAGAGGUAAGCGGAAUUCCUGGUGUAGCGGUGAAAUGCGUAGAUAUCAGGAGGAACACCUGCGGUGUAGACGGCUUACUGGACCAUCACUGACGCUGAGGCACGAAAGCGUGGGGAGCGAACAGG